rnacentral:rRNA from 1 species
AGAGUUUGAUCAUGGCUCAGAACGAACGCUGGCGGCAGGCUUAACACAUGCAAGUCGAGCGCCCCGCAAGGGGAGCGGCAGACGGGUGAGUAACGCGUGGGAAUCUACCCAGCUCUACGGAACAACUCCGGGAAACUGGAGCUAAUACCGUAUACGUCCUCGGGAGAAAGAUUUAUCGGAGUUGGAUGAGCCCGCGUUGG